CACGUAGGGCGCAAGCGUUGUCCGGAAUUAUUGGGCGUAAAGAGCUCGUAGGCGGUCUGUUGCGUCCGCUGUGAAAACCCGGGGCUUAACCCUGGGCUGGCAGUGGAUACGGACAGACUAGAGGUAGGUAGGGGAGAGUGGAAUUCCUGGUGUAGCGGUGAAAUGCGCAGAUAUCAGGAAGAACACCCGUGGCUAAGGCGGCUCUCUAGUACGGUACUGACGCUGAGACGCGAAAGCGUGGGGAGCGAACAGG
rnacentral:rRNA from 1 species